rnacentral:rRNA from 1 species
UACGUAGGGUGCAAGCGUUGUCCGGAAUUAUUGGGCGUAAAGAGCUCGUAGGCGGUCUGUCGCGUCUGCUGUGAAAACCCGGGGCUCAACUCCGGGCCUGCAGCCGAUACGGGCAGACUAGAGUUCGGCAGGGGAGACUGGAAUUCUGGUGUAGCGGUGAAAUGCGCAGAUAUCAGGAGGAACACCGGUGGCGAAGGCGGGUCUCUGGGCCGAUACUGACGCUGAGGAGCGAAAGCGUGGGGAGCGAACAGG